rnacentral:rRNA from 1 species
GACGAACGCUGGCGGCGUGCCUAACACAUGCAAGUCGAGCGAUGAAGUUUCCUUCGGGGAACGGAUUAGCGGCGGACGGGUGAGUAACACGUGGGUAACCUGCCUUGUAGAGGGGGAUAGCCUUCCGAAAGGAAGAUUAAUACCGCAUAAGAUUGUAGUUUCGCAUGAAACAGCAAUUAAAGGAGCAAUCCGCUACAAGAUGGACCCGCGGCGCAUUAGCUAGUUGGUGAGGUAACGGCUCACCAAGGCGACGAUGCGUAGCCGACCUGAGAGGGUGAUCGGCCACAUUGGGACUGGGACACGGCCCAGACUCCUACGGGAGGCAGCAGUGGGGAAUAUUGCACAAUGGGGGAAACCCUGAUGCAGCAACGCCGCGUGAGUGAUGACGGUCUUCGGAUUGUAAAGCUCUGUCUUUGGGGACGAUAAUGACGGUACCCAAGGAGGAAGCCACGGCUAACUACGUGCCAGCAGCAGCCGCGGUAA